rnacentral:rRNA from 1 species
UACAGGGGGUGCAACCGUUGCUCGGAAUUAUUGGGCGUAAAGCGCGCGUAGGCGGCUACUUAAGUCGGAUGUGAAAGCCCUUGGCUCAACUGAGGAAGUGCACCCGAAACUGAGUGGCUUGAGUACUAAAGAGGGUCGCGGAAUUCCCGGUGUAGCGGUGAAAUGCGCAGAUAUCAGGAGGAACACCAAUUGCGAAGGCAGCUCGCUGGGACGUUACUGACGCUGAGACGCGAAAGCGUGGGGAGCAAACAGG